UACGGAGGGGGCUAGCGUUGUUCGGAAUUACUGGGCGUAAAGGGUGCGUAGGCGGUUGUUUAAGUCUGUCGUGAAAUCCCCGGGCUCAACCUGGGAAUGGCGAUGGAUACUGGGCAGCUAGAGUGUGUCAGAGGAUGGUGGAAUUCCCGGUGUAGCGGUGAAAUGCGUAGAGAUCGGGAGGAACAUCAGUGGCGAAGGCGGCCAUCUGGGACAACACUGACGCUGAAGCACGAAAGCGUGGGGAGCAAACAGG
rnacentral:rRNA from 1 species